GUGGAAUCACCACAUACUUGAUCACAUCUCUUCACGAUACAGAGAAGAUUAGCAUGGCCUCUGUGCAAGAAUGACACACAAAUUCUUGAAGCAUUCCAUAUUUUU